GACAGAGGUUGCAAACGUUGUUCGGAAUUACUGGGCAUAAAGCGCACGUAGGCGGUUCGUUAAGUCAUGUGUGAAAUCCCUCGGCUCAACCGAGGAAUUGCGCCUGAUACUGGCGGGCUAGAGAUCGAUAGGGGUGAGUGGAACUCCAGGUGGAGCGGUGAAAUGCGUAGAUAUCUGGAGGAGCACCGGUGGCGAAAGCGGCUCACUGGAUCGAUACUGACGCUGAGGUGCGAAAGCUAGGGUAGCAAACGGG
rnacentral:rRNA from 1 species